rnacentral:rRNA from 1 species
GAUGAACGCUGGCGGCGUGCUUAACACAUGCAAGUCGAACGGAAAGGCCUCUGCUUGCAGGGGUACUCGAGUGGCGAACGGGUGAGUAACACGUGGGUGAUCUGCCCUGCACUUCGGGAUAAGCCUGGGAAACUGGGUCUAAUACCGGAUAGGACAAUGGUUUGGAUGCUGUUGUGGAAAGUUUUUCGGUGUGGGAUGAGCUCGCGGCCUAUCAGCUUGUUGGUGGGGUAAUGGCCUACCAAGGCGUCGACGGGUAGCCGGCCUGAGAGGGUGUACGGCCACAUUGGGACGGAGAUACGGCCCAGACUCCUACGGGAGGCAGCAGUGGGGAAUAUUGCACAAUGGGCGCAAGCCUGAGGCAGCGACGCCGCGUGGGGGAUGACGGCCUUCGGGUUGUAAACUCCUUUCGCUAGGGACGAAGCGUUUUUGUGACGGUACCUGGAGAAGAAGCACCGGCUAACUACGUG